GGGCCCGCACAAGCGGUGGAGCAUGUGGUUCAAUUCGACGCAACGCGAAGAACCUUACCUGGGCUCGAACGGCUGGUUAACGGCGGUGGAAACAUCGCUACCCCGCAAGGGGGUCCAGUCGAGGUGCUGCAUGGCUGUCGUCAGCUCGUGUCGUGAGAUGUUGGGUUAAGUCCCGCAACGAGCGCAACCCUUGUCCUGUGUUGCCAUGCCGAAAGGCGGAACUCGCAGGAGACCGCCAGCGAUAAGCUGGAGGAAGGUGGGGAUGACGUCAAGUCCUCAUGGCCUUUAUGUCCAGGGCUACACACGUGCUACAAUGGCCGGUACAAAGCGCUGCAAGCCCGCGAGGGGGAGCCAAUCGCAAAAAACCGGUCUCAGUUCGGAUUGCAGGCUGCAACUCGCCUGCAUGAAGCUGGAAUCGCUAGUAAUGGCAGAUCAGCACGCUGCCGUGAAUACGUUCCCGGGCCUU
rnacentral:rRNA from 1 species